GACCCUUGACGCCACUACUCUUCGUAAUAAACUCCGAAUGGCUCUGAACAACCCACUACUAGAUGGUUACAGACAUCAUUGUCAAUUAGUUACGCACUCCGUCUAUAAAAAGGGACCCCCAGAUACGUUCUUCUCUAAGCUCAAAAACUCUAUCUCAAAAUUCUACUAAAAUUUCCACUCGAGCACUUCAUUUCUGUUGAAGUAGAGUACUGACUUG
rnacentral:lncRNA from 1 species